rnacentral:lncRNA from 1 species
AACCAGAAUUUAUAGAAAGAUUAACAGAUUCCCUAGGUGUAGCUAAAAGUUCAUUAUCUUCUUGAUUAAAAGAUAGGACCUCGGUUAUAGAAAAGGGUUGGUUUUGACCUAUUGCAAUCAACUCCGGACACAGAUCAUAAUUAGGGGCAGGACUUGUUGACUCCCAUGGUCUAUGGCUGGUCUCCGAAGGUGCAAAGAAUUUAAUAAUAGGUAUGGAGUUUAAGUUAUCCAUAA